AAGGAUUCCCCUAGUAACGGCGAGUGAAGCGGGAAGAGCUCAAGCUUAAAAUCUCCGUGCAAGUUUUGCGCGGCGAAUUGUAGUCUAUAGAGGCGUGGUCAGUGUGAGCGCUCGGGGCAAGUUCCUUGGAAGAGGACAGCAUGGAGGGUGAUACUCCCGUUCAUCCCUGAGUGGCUUAUGCGUACGACCCGUGUUCUUUGAGUCGCGUUGUUUGGGAAUGCAGCGCAAAGUAGGUGGUAAAUUCCAUCUAAAGCUAAAUAUUGGUGCGAGACCGAUAGCGAACAAGUACCGUGAGGGAAAGAUGAAAAGAACUUUGAAAAGAGAGUUAAAGAGUACCUGAAACUGCUGAAAGGGAACCGAAUCGUUUCCAGUGUCUAUAAUCCGUGGCAUAUUUCAUUGGCGAGUGUGUGCGCGCGUGCGCUGUGGCAGCGGCUUUUUUGGCUGCGCUCGGUGCGUGUGUUGUGUGUGUUUGCUGGUGCCCUGUGCUGCGGUGGGACGUCAAGGUCAGUUCGUAUGCUGCGGGAAAUGGCUGCCGAGGAGGUAGGGCUUACGCUCUGCGUUUGUCUAUUAUAUCUUGGUGGACGAGUCGUCGCGGUUGGGACUGAGGUGCCUACAACGUGCUUUUGAGUGGGUGUGUGUCUCCGUGUGCGCCGUGUGCGGAUAGCUUGCUAUGCGUGUGUGGUUGUGUGUGGAUUGAUGCGUGUCUUAACUUGUCGCCGUUCGGGACGUUGACGAAAUGGAGCGAUCCGACCCGUCUUGAAACACGGACCAAGGAGUCUAACAUGUGUGCAAGUGUUAGGGUGUGGAAACCCCAGCGCGAAAUGAAAGUGAAGGGCAGCGCAAGUUGUCUGAGGUAGGAAACGUUGCGGGCUUCGGUCUGCGGCGUGGCACUAUCGACCGAUCAUGAACCUUCGUGGUGAAAGAUUUGAGUUUGAGCACAUAUGUUGGUACCCGAAAGAUGGUGAACUAUGCCUGAGUAGGGUGAAGCCAGGGGAAACUCUGGUGGAAGCUCGUAGCGAUUCUGACGUGCAAAUCGAUCGUCAAACUUGGGUAUAGGGCG
rnacentral:rRNA from 1 species